UACGGAGGGUGCGAGCGUUGUCCGGAAUCACUGGGCGUAAAGGGCGCGUAGGCGGCCUGAUAAGUAGGGGGUGAAAUCCUGCGGCUUAACCGCAGGGCUGCCUUCUAAACUGUCAGGCUAGAGCACAGUAGAGGCAGGUGGAAUUCCCGGUGUAGCGGUGGAAUGCGUAGAGAUCGGGAAGAACAUCAGUGGCGAAGGCGGCCUGCUGGGCUGUUGCUGACGCUGAGGUGCAAGAGCGUGGGGAGCGAACCGG
rnacentral:rRNA from 1 species